GGUUACGGAUGAAAACUAAAUAAUAAUAAUAAUAAUAAUAAUAAUAAAGAAACCUUUCUUGGGAGAAUAGCAAUAGGUUCCUGCCAUUGCUUUGCAUGGCAGGCCCCAAUAAUACGUAAAGAGACGCUUCUCUCCGACAAUAGUAAUAGGUUCCUGCCAUUGCUUUGCAUGGCAGGCCCCAACUAGAAAA